CCCCGUUCUGUGUGUGACAGCGGUAGAGACGAGAUGUGGAUCACCGUCUGCCUCUUUCUCAUCUGCCCGGUGGCUGGGAACUCUGUGACCCAGAUUCGAGCAUCUGAGUCAGCCAGGGAAGGGCGGCCCGUGAAACUGAAUUGUCAGUACAGCACCACGUACACGUACUACGCCCUGGGAUGGUACCAGCAGCUGCCUGGGCAGCAGCCUCUGUUCCUAGUGUACAGAAAUGAGAGGGGAAAUGAGUACAAGCCCCGUUUUGUGGCACCUCGGUUUUCCUCCGAGCUCAGCACCGAUGUCAAAUCGUUCACACUGUCCAUAGAAGGGGUGCAGUGGGCUGACUCGGCGGUGUACUUCUGUGCUUUCUGGGAUCCACCGUGCUACACAGCGCACAGGGAUCCCCACAUAAACUGCCGGGAGAUCUCAAGGUUGACAGCACUGGGUGCCUGGCCAUUAGCUCACGAGAGCACUUUGUAA